GUGAAAUGUGUUGAGCUGUUUGUCGCGUGUGUGUACAGAACGUGAUUCCUUUCACAAUUUCCCACGAUUUGUGAUUUCAUUUACCACACUGUAUUCGCCACACGGGGUCCCGAGGGCAGAGACUCCGCUUUACUGAUCUCUGGUACCCCAUGCCUGGCCCACGGGGGCUUGCAAUUAGGUGUUUACAGAAGAAAGGAACGGAACGACUUCGAGGGCUCUGCUGGAAGCUUCGGCAGCGGCUCCGAACGCUUCCCGCCGCCUCGCCCGGCCGCAGCCGGUUCUUCGUGCUCCUCGCUCGGCGCCCACUGGCCGCCGUCGCCCCGAGGCUGCCUAGCGUCUCCCCUCAGCUUCUGCUCGGGGGGCAGCGGGUUUUGCCCGCCGCUCCUCCGUCAGAAGGGCGGCCAGGGCUGGGACAGGAAUGAAUUCCCUGCGGGUCCGGCAUCCUCCUCCAGCCUGGGGCGCCGGCAGCGCGGCGGGCAGUGCUGGGACUCGUGGCGCCCGCGCUCCAGCCCCCGCCCCGGGCCGCUACUCUUCGGCGGGGCCCGCGGGGCGCAGGCUGCUCUGCCGCUGGGGCUCCGGUCCGCCUGCACUGUGACGUGGGCAGCAGCUGGGGCGGGCAGUGCCUCGGUCUCCGCUCGGGGACGCGGUGAUUUUCUUUUUUUUUUCCGACUGCCGGAGCCCGUGGUGGUGGUGCUGGGGGGCGGGGUCGGCGUGGGCAGAGCUGCGGGGGCUGCCGCGGAGGCCGCCCUAGGAGGGAGGGGGCGGACCGGGGUGUGAGGUGAGCGGCCGUAAUGAGCACUCGCAGGAGCAAGGGGCCCGGCGCGGGCCUCCAGGGCGGGAGGCCCUGACGCGGGGAGGAGGCGGCCGGGCGGCCAAGGGCCUCCCUGGGGAGUGUGCGGAGGCCGGGACGGAGCAGCGCGUAACUAGGGAGAGGAUAGGCCGGGCUGGUGGAGAUGCGGGGAGAGACCAGCCAAAGCUAAAGAGCCAAAGCAAAGGCAACUACAUUGUCGGCACUGCCCUAGGCUCCAGGGCCACAGAGACAACCAUAGCUUCAGCCUCCUGCUCCGAAUGACAUCUCUCAGAAAUCUUCCCUGACUGUCCAGGCGGAAUUAAUGGUUCACUUCCCUGUUCCUCUAUACCUUGAGCAUCCCUCUACAAUUGAAUGCUCCUUCAUUCCAUUUCAUUGCACCAGCAUGUAUCGAGGGUCUACUGUUAUCUAUCGCUGAAGAGAAUGAUUGCAAAAAACUUGAAUGAACAUGGAAAAUGCUGAUGAUCAGAUUUCCAUUGAAAAGAAAGGUGUGCUCCUUGGGGUGGGGGUGUUGUUGUAAUUGUCAGAAAAUGUUUAAUAAAAGAAACAGAAA
rnacentral:lncRNA from 1 species